rnacentral:rRNA from 1 species
GACGAACGCUGGCGGCGUGCUUAACACAUGCAAGUCGAGCGGUAAGGCCCCUUCGGGGGUACACGAGCGGCGAACGGGUGAGUAACACGUGAGUAACCUGCCCCAUUCUUCGGAAUAACCAGUGGAAACGCUGGCUAAUGCCGAAUAUGACCAUCGAAGGCAUCUUCUGGUGGUGGAAAGCUCCGGCGGAGUGGGAUGGACUCGCGGCCGAUCAGCUUGUUGGUGAGGUAACGGCUGACCAAGGCGACGACGGGUAGCCGGCCUGAGAGGGUGACCGGCCACCCUGGGACUGAGACACGGCCCAGACUCCUACGGGAGGCAGCAGUGGGGAAUAUUGGACAAUGGGCGAAAGCCUGAUCCAGCAACGCCGCGUGAGGGAUGACGGCCUUCGGGUUGUAAACCUCUUUCAGCAGGGACGAAGCGAGAGUGACGGUACCUGCAGAAGAAGGACCGGCCAACUACGUGCCAGCAGCCGCCGCAGUAA